GGAAACGAAAGCUUUGGAUCGAAAUCAUGUCGAUAUCGGUCGAUACCAGUAGGUCAAAUUGAAAAUCACGCAAACAUAAAUAUACAAAAGGAGAAUAAUUUUCAACAACCAAUACUCUGAUAGUGAAUCAUAUAAACAUAGAGGAACUUCCCCACGAGGCACUAUAAAAAAAUCAAAAUUCAUAAGCACAACAUGUUUUUAAUUUACAUCUUGCGAUUGUAG
rnacentral:lncRNA from 1 species